rnacentral:rRNA from 1 species
GGGUUGUGAGGUUAAGCGACUAAGCGUACACGGUGGAUGCCCUGGCAGUCAGAGGCGAUGAAGGACGUGCUAAUCUGCGAUAAGCGUCGGUAAGGUGAUAUGAACCGUUAUAACCGGCGAUUUCCGAAUGGGGAAACCCAGUGUGUUUCGACACACUAUCAUUAACUGAAUCCAUAGGUUAAUGAGGCGAACCGGGGGAACUGAAACAUCUAAGUACCCCGAGGAAAAGAAAUCAACCGAGAUUCCCCCAGUAGCGGCGAGCGAACGGGGAGGAGCCCAGAGCCUGAAUCAGUGUGUGUGUUAGUGGAAGCGUCUGGAAAGGCGCGCGAUACAGGGUGACAGCCCCGUACACAAAAAUGCACAUGCUGUGAGCUCGAUGAGUAGGGCGGGACACGUGGUAUCCUGUCUGAAUAUGGGGGGACCAUCCUCCAAGGCUAAAUACUCCUGACUGACCGAUAGUGAACCAGUACCGUGAGGGAAAGGCGAAAAGAACCCCGGCGAGGGGAGUGAAAAAGAACCUGAAACCGUGUACGUACAAGCAGUGGGAGCACGCUUCGGCGUGUGACUGCGUACCUUUUGUAUAAUGGGUCAGCGACUUAUAUUCUGUAGCAAGGUUAACCGAAUAGGGGAGCCGAAGGGAAACCGAGUCUUAACUGGGCGUUAAGUUGCAGGGUAUAGACCCGAAACCCGGUGAUCUAGCCAUGGGCAGGUUGAAGGUUGGGUAACACUAACUGGAGGACCGAACCGACUAAUGUUGAAAAAUUAGCGGAUGACUUGUGGCUGGGGGUGAAAGGCCAAUCAAACCGGGAGAUAGCUGGUUCUCCCCGAAAGCUAUUUAGGUAGCGCCUCGUGAAUUCAUCUCCGGGGGUAGAGCACUGUUUCGGCAAGGGGGUCAUCCCGACUUACCAACCCGAUGCAAACUGCGAAUACCGGAGAAUGUUAUCACGGGAGACACACGGCGGGUGCUAACGUCCGUCGUGAAGAGGGAAACAACCCAGACCGCCAGCUAAGGUCCCAAAGUCAUGGUUAAGUGGGAAACGAUGUGGGAAGGCCCAGACAGCCAGGAUGUUGGCUUAGAAGCAGCCAUCAUUUAAAGAAAGCGUAAUAGCUCACUGGUCGAGUCGGCCUGCGCGGAAGAUGUAACGGGGCUAAACCAUGCACCGAAGCUGCGGCAGCGACGCUGAUGCGUUGUUGGGUAGGGGAGCGUUCUGUAAGCCUGCGAAGGUGUGCUGUGAGGCAUGCUGGAGGUAUCAGAAGUGCGAAUGCUGACAUAAGUAACGAUAAAGCGGGUGAAAAGCCCGCUCGCCGGAAGACCAAGGGUUCCUGUCCAACGUUAAUCGGGGCAGGGUGAGUCGACCCCUAAGGCGAGGCCGAAAGGCGUAGUCGAUGGGAAACAGGUUAAUAUUCCUGUACUUGGUGUUACUGCGAAGGGGGGACGGAGAAGGCUAUGUUGGCCGGGCGACGGUUGUCCCGGUUUAAGCGUGUAGGCUGGUUUUCCAGGCAAAUCCGGAAAAUCAAGGCUGAGGCGUGAUGACGAGGCACUACGGUGCUGAAGCAACAAAUGCCCUGCUUCCAGGAAAAGCCUCUAAGCAUCAGGUAACAUCAAAUCGUACCCCAAACCGACACAGGUGGUCAGGUAGAGAAUACCAAGGCGCUUGAGAGAACUCGGGUGAAGGAACUAGGCAAAAUGGUGCCGUAACUUCGGGAGAAGGCACGCUGAUAUGUAGGUGAAGUCCCUCGCGGAUGGAGCUGAAAUCAGUCGAAGAUACCAGCUGGCUGCAACUGUUUAUUAAAAACACAGCACUGUGCAAACACGAAAGUGGACGUAUACGGUGUGACGCCUGCCCGGUGCCGGAAGGUUAAUUGAUGGGGUUAGCCGCAAGGCGAAGCUCUUGAUCGAAGCCCCGGUAAACGGCGGCCGUAACUAUAACGGUCCUAAGGUAGCGAAAUUCCUUGUCGGGUAAGUUCCGACCUGCACGAAUGGCGUAAUGAUGGCCAGGCUGUCUCCACCCGAGACUCAGUGAAAUUGAACUCGCUGUGAAGAUGCAGUGUACCCGCGGCAAGACGGAAAGACCCCGUGAACCUUUACUAUAGCUUGACACUGAACAUUGAGCCUUGAUGUGUAGGAUAGGUGGGAGGCUUUGAAGUGUGGACGCCAGUCUGCAUGGAGCCGACCUUGAAAUACCACCCUUUAAUGUUUGAUGUUCUAACGUUGACCCGUAAUCCGGGUUGCGGACAGUGUCUGGUGGGUAGUUUGACUGGGGCGGUCUCCUCCUAAAGAGUAACGGAGGAGCACGAAGGUUGGCUAAUCCUGGUCGGACAUCAGGAGGUUAGUGCAAUGGCAUAAGCCAGCUUGACUGCGAGCGUGACGGCGCGAGCAGGUGCGAAAGCAGGUCAUAGUGAUCCGGUGGUUCUGAAUGGAAGGGCCAUCGCUCAACGGAUAAAAGGUACUCCGGGGAUAACAGGCUGAUACCGCCCAAGAGUUCAUAUCGACGGCGGUGUUUGGCACCUCGAUGUCGGCUCAUCACAUCCUGGGGCUGAAGUAGGUCCCAAGGGUAUGGCUGUUCGCCAUUUAAAGUGGUACGCGAGCUGGGUUUAGAACGUCGUGAGACAGUUCGGUCCCUAUCUGCCGUGGGCGCUGGAGAACUGAGGGGGGCUGCUCCUAGUACGAGAGGACCGGAGUGGACGCAUCACUGGUGUUCGGGUUGUCAUGCCAAUGGCACUGCCCGGUAGCUAAAUGCGGAAGAGAUAAGUGCUGAAAGCAUCUAAGCACGAAACUUGCCCCGAGAUGAGUUCUCCCUGACCCUUUAAGGGUCCUGAAGGAACGUUGAAGACGACGACGUUGAUAGGCCGGGUGUGUAAGCGCAGCGAUGCGUUGAGCUAACCGGUACUAAUGAACCGUGAGGCUUAACCUUACAACGCCGAAG